UUUGGGUUAGUGGGAUUUGUGGCAUGUCAUAUUCAUAUUUCUAUAACAAAUUCCAUGUCUGUCCAAAAUUGCUACCUCUAAUUCAUAGCGUAAAGUCUAAGCAGAUUUCAAGAAAUUGCAAAUGGUGAACCUCCACAAAUGGUCCAUCCAUUCCCAAGUGCCAGGUUUAAUCCACGAAUUCAAGUCCUAAGUGAUAUAUGA
rnacentral:misc_RNA from 1 species